UAUUGCGAUUUUUAUAAACAAUUCAACGAUCAAGAUAGAGCAAAACCGAUAUUGAAAUAUGACGAUUUUAAAACUCGUUCAAUAUUCGUUUUAGACUGCUCAAAGCACCCCGAACCUAUUCGUUAUUCAACUGUAGAUGUAUCACUUCAAUUUGAGUCGGACUAUGAGUUUCCUCAAGAUACAAAAGCCUACGUAAUUAUCAUACACGAUGCUAUCGUAGAGUACACACCAAUGCUAAAAACCACAAGAGAUCUUAUUUAACAUUGAACGUGUGGAAUCGUUCACAACCGAAAAAGGAUUUCCUAUUGAUAACCUCUAGAGCAAACUGCAUCAUCAUUCACAAUAAAAUUUUAAAGUAUCGAGCUGCUAAGCGGUUUAAUUCGUCCAUUAUCACUCUAGAACACCGUUUUUAGCGUUCUUCAUUAAUGCUUAUCGAAAAAACGGAAACAUGUGGUUUUAUACUGGAAACAGAUUUCUUGUUGAUUUCCUCGAUAGACAACGCAUGCGAACAAAUUUAGUAGUAGUAGUUGUUGUUGUCAUGAUGUCUGGCUGGUGUGUUGUUUACUCUUCGCAGUUUUGUUGUGAGGAAGCGAAAAGAUUCUCCGUAAAUCGAUUAGAGAAUCAAGUUCACCAUUCGCUUCAUGAUUUUCUACAACGCUACCCACAUGAAGACUCUACUCUACUCAAAAAUUAUCUUUAUCAACGAAUCGUGAAAGUGUAUGAAGAUCUUUCGAUAUUGUGCAAUAAAUAUUUAAAUAGACAGUUCUCAUUUCGUUCGUUCUGUGUGGAGCUUAAAGAAUUGAAACGAGCCUUGGAUAGUGUAAAAGAAUAUAUUCCAACAAAAUGCUAUAUUACCUGGUCAUUUCGUACAAAAUGUGAAAAGCAUAUGUAGAAGAAAAAAUCUUAGCCGGUCUCCGAGUUAACGAAGAGACGAAUUUUUGAACAUUUUUUAUUAUCUUCGCCCGGAAAUGUGAGGUUUCAUAACGGACAUACAUUUGUAAGCGAAUCGCAAGACCCUUUUAUUUUAAAGGAAAAAAGUUUUAACCCUCCGAAAAUACAUUUAAUGGUGAAAUGGUCCUUCGCUUAUCACCAAUUGAGAUGUGAUGCUAUUUGGCAACAGUACGCUAAAGAUGGUGAACGAUUUCGAAGACGGAUACGACAAGUAGAAUCCAUCUAUUUAGAACCUAAAUUACAAGUUUCGCAACGAAAGAAAAUACAUGAAGAUCGAUUUACGACUCUACAAGAAGAAGAAGACUCCAAAAGUAUGGAAGUUGAUUAUGAAUAUUAUUAAAAAUUAUAUUAAUUCUGCUUAUUAGUUUUUUUGUUUCUGUUGUAGUUUUCGUUUUCGCUUUCAUUUUAUAUUAUUUUUUAUUUUUUAAAAUGAAUUAUGUAAAAUGUGUUCAUUAGUUAAUUAGACAUUAGUUUUGUACUCUAUGGUUUAUUUUUGCUUUUAUAUUUUAUGUU